AUUGAACGCUGGCGGCAGGCCCAACACAUGCAAGUCGAGCGGAUGAAGGGAGCUUGCUCCUGGAUUCAGCGGCGGACGGGUGAGUAAUGCCUAGGAAUCUGCCUGGUAGUGGGGGAUAACGUCCGGAAACGGGCGCUAAUACCGCAUACGUCCUGAGGGAGAAAGUGGGGGAUCUUCGGACCUCACGCUAUCAGAUGAGCCUAGGUCGGAUUAGCUAGUUGGUGGGGUAAAGGCCUACCAAGGCGACGAUCCGUAACUGAUCUGAGAGGAUGAUCAGUCACACUGGAACUGAGACACGGUCCAGACUCCUACGGGAGGCAGCAGUGGGGAAUAUUGGACAAUGGGCGAAAGCCUGAUCCAGCCAUGCCGCGUGUGUGAAGAAGGUCUUCGGAUUGUAAAGCACUUUAAGUUGGGAGGAAGGGCAGUAAGUUAAUACCUUGCUGUUUUGACGUUACCAACAGAAUAAGCACCGGCUAACUUCGUG
rnacentral:rRNA from 1 species